GAUGAACGCUAGCUACAGGCUUAACACAUGCAAGUCGGGGGGUAACGAGAGGAAAGCUUGCUUUCCUUGUUGACGACCGGCGCACGGGUGAGUAACGCGUAUCCAACCUGCCCCCAACUAGGGAAUAACCUUGCGAAAGUAAGACUAAUACCCUAUAAUUUCCUCAGAUGUCAUCUGACGAGGAAUAAAGAUUUAUCGGUUGUGGAUGGGGAUGCGUCUGAUUAGCUUGUUGGCGGGGUAACGGCUCACCAAGGCAACGAUCAGUAGGGGUUCUGAGAGGAAGGUCCCCCACAUUGGGACUAAGACACGGUCCAAACUCGUACGGGAGGCAGCAGUGAGGAAUAUUGGUCAAUGGGCGGAAGCCUGAACCAGCCAAGUAGCGUGCAGGAUGACGGCCCUAUGGGUUGUAAACUGCUUUUAUACAGGAAUAAAGUUAGCCACGUGUGGUUAUUUGUAGGUACUGUAUGAAUAAGGACCGGCUAAUUCCGUGCCAGCCGCCGCAGUAA
rnacentral:rRNA from 1 species